rnacentral:rRNA from 1 species
CCUACGGGAGGCAGCAGUGAGGAAUAUUGGUCAAUGGGCGCGAGCCUGAACCAGCCAAGUAGCGUGAAGGAUGACUGCCCUACGGGUUGUAAACUUCUUUUAUAAAGGAAUAAAGUGAGGCACGUGUGCCUUUUUGUAUGUACUUUAUGAAUAAGGAUCGGCUAACUCCGUGCCAGCAGCCGCGGUAAUACGGAGGAUACGAGCGUUAUCCGGAUUUAUUGGGUUUAAAGGGAUCUGAGAUGGGUGGUUAAGUCAGUUGUGAAAGUUUGCGGCUCAACCGUAAAAGUGCAAUUGAUACUGGCAGCCUUGAGUACAGUUGAGGUAUGCGGAAUUCGUGGUGUAGCGGUGAAAUGCUUAGAUAUCACGAAGAACUCCGAUUGCGAAGGCAGCUUACUAACCUGCCACUGACAUUGAUGCUCGAAAGUGUGGGUAUCAAACAGGAUUAGAUACCCUUGUAGUC